rnacentral:rRNA from 1 species
GUGUCAGCAGCCGCGGUAAUACGUAGGGUGCAAGCGUUAAUCGGAAUUACUGGGCGUAAAGCGUGCGCAGGCGGUUUUGUAAGUCUGACGUGAAAUCCCCGGGCUCAACCUGGGAAUUGCGUUGGAGACUGCAAGGCUGGAGUCUGGCAGAGGGGGGUAGAAUUCCACGUGUAGCAGUGAAAUGCGUAGAGAUGUGGAGGAACACCGAUGGCGAAGGCAGCCCCCUGGGUCAAGACUGACGCUCAUGCACGAAAGCGUGGGGAGCAAACAGGAUUAGAUACCCCCGUAGUCC